rnacentral:rRNA from 1 species
AACGAACGCUGGCGGCGUGCCUAACACAUGCAAGUCGAACGGAAUUAGAGAGCUUGCUCUUUAAUUUAGUGGCGCACGGGUGAGUAACGCGUAGAUAAUCUGCCUGACGAUCUGGGAUAACACUUCGAAAGAGGUGCUAAUACCGGAUAAGCCCACGGGUUCUUUGGAAUCUGCGGGAAAAGGGGGGGACCUUCGGGCCUUCUGUCGUCAGAUGAGUCUGCGUACCAUUAGCUAGUUGGUAGGGUAAAGGCCUACCAAGGCGACGAUGGUUAGCUGGUCUGAGAGGAUGAUCAGCCACCCUGGAACUGGGACACGGUCCAGACUCCUACGGGAGGCAGCAGUGGGGAAUUUUGCGCAAUGGGCGAAAGCCUGACGCAGCAACGCCGCGUGAGUGAUGAAGGCUUUCGGGUCGUAAAGCUCUGUCAAUGGGAAAGAAGUGUAUUUGGGCUAAUAUCCUUAAUACUUGACGGUACCCAUAAAGGAAGCACCGGCUAACUCCGUGCCAGCAGCCGCCGUAACAC